GUUAAUAUAGUUUAAACAAAACGUUAGAUUGUGAUUCUAAAAAUAGGAGUUAAACCCUCUUUAUUUACC
rnacentral:tRNA from 1 species